GGAAGGAUCAUUACCGAAUUGUCAAACACGGGUUGUUGCUGGCCCCCGAACUGGGCAUGUGCACGCUCUGUUUACACAUCCACUCACACCUGUGCACCCUCUGUAGUUCUGUGGACCGGGAGACAUCGUCUUCCUUCCGUAGCUCUACGUCUUUACACACACACCGUAGCGAUGUCUCAUGGAAUGUUUUUUCGCGUUUAACGCAAUACAAUACAACUUUCAGCAAC
rnacentral:misc_RNA from 1 species